GUGCAAAUGAUGUGAACUUAUCAGUAUGAGUGUAUCAAUGAUACUGUAAACGCUUGCUGAUGUA